rnacentral:rRNA from 1 species
UACGUAGGGGGCAAGCGUUUGUCCGGAAUUAUUGGGCGUAAAGAGCGCGUAGGCGGUCUGAUAAGUCGGUUGUGAAAGUCGGGGGCUCAACCCUCGGAUGCCGAUCGAUACUGUCAGGCUAGAGUCCGGAAGAGGCGAGUGGAAUUCCUGGUGUAGCGGUGAAAUGCGCAGAUAUCAGGAGGAACGCCGGUGGCGAAGGCGGGUCUCUGGGCCGAUACUGACGCUGAGGAGCGAAAGCGUGGGGAGCGAACAGG